rnacentral:rRNA from 1 species
CCUACGGGAGGCAGCAGUGAGGAAUAUUGGUCAAUGGGCGCGAGCCUGAACCAGCCAAGUAGCGUGAAGGAUGACUGCCCUACGUGUUGUAAACUUCUUUUAUAAAGGAAUAAAGUGCGGCAUGUGUGCCUUUUUGUAUGUCCUUUAUGAAUAAGGAUCGGCUAACUCCGUGCCAGCAGCCGCGGUAAUACGGAGGAUCCGAGCGUUAUCCGGAUUUAUUGGGUUUAAAGGGAGCGUAGAUGGGUUGGUAAGUCAGUUGUGAAAGUUUGGGGCUCAACCGUAAAAUUGCAAUUGAUACUGGCAGUCUUGAGUACAGGUGAGGUAGGCGGAAUUCGUGGUGUAGCGGUGAAAUGCGUAGAUAUCACGAAGAACUCCGAUGGCGAAGGCAGCUUACUAAACUGCCACUGACAUUGAUGCUCGAAAGUGUGGGGAUCAAACAGGAUUAGAUACCCCGGUAGUC